UACGGGGGGGGCAAGCGUUGUUCGGAAUUACUGGGCGUAAAGGGCUCGUAGGCGGCCAACUAAGUCUGAUGUGAAAUCCCCAGGCUUAACCUGGGAACUGCAUCCGAUACUGGAUGGCUUGAAUCCGGGAGAGGGAUGCAGAAUUCCAGGUGUAGCGGUGAAAUGCGUAGAUAUCUGGAGGAAUACCGGUGGCGAAGGCGGCAUCCUGGACCGGCAUUGACGCUGAUGAGCGAAAGCCAGGGGAGCAAACGGG
rnacentral:rRNA from 1 species